UGCCAUUCAAGUAGUUACAUCCUUCACUUAGACCACUUCUUAGCAUCCAUUAUUCAAAAGGAGAAGGGUGGCUCCCUCAGCCUCUCCUUGUAGGUCAUCUGCUCAAGGCCCUUGACCUGCACAAUAGCAAUCCAUCACAUCCACUAUUCCAGUUUCUUAACAGUGCUCUCAAAAUGGACAUAGGUAUUCCAGAUGCAACUCUAUUAGCACAGGGUAGAGGGUUAUAAUAAGUUUGUUGAGUUUCCUUACCAUACUCCUCCUGAAGCAGGUCCAGUGUGUAGUUCACUUUACUUGUGAAGAGAGUGAAAAGUGGACUCAGAUCCAGUAGAGCAUCUAGACCUUUAUUCUUGAAAAGCUUCUCAAGUCUUGUGAUUGCUUAGUCAAAUUUAUCAAGGUCACUCAGAACUGCAGAUUAUUCUUUCGUUGUGUCAAUUAAUAAUUUUGCUCUAUUAUUUCUGAAGAUUUACUAUGGAUCUGUCACUGUUCACAUCACCAAUUAAAAUAAUUGACAAUAUGGGUCCCAGUGUGUCCCUGAUACUAUUAUCAGCCACCAAUAGGACACAAGCUCACUGAUUCCCACCAUUUGAGCUUAGCAAUCCAUCCAUUUUUCAGCACCCAAAACAGUACUGUGUUUCAGACCUCAGUUUCCAAAUGAGAAUGCAAUGAGAAAUGGUGUUACAAGAUCUACCAGCAUCCAACAGUAUCACAGUCACCACUCUCCCCUCAUCCAUACAGACAGCAAUUUCUUUGCAAAAGUCAAGAAGACUGGAUAAGCAUCAUCCUUGAAAAAAAUCAUAUUGACUGCUCCUGUUUUCUGUCCUGUUCUUUACAUCUCAGGAAACAGACUGAUUCCAUUACUUCAAGAUCUGUCUAGGGACAGAGCAGGCAGCUGAAGUUGGAAGGCUGCCAAGCUGAAGGGAAGUGGAAACCAUAUUUUCUGUAAUGCAGUCAACAGUCCUUAAUCAGGCCCAGGACCCUGAGGGCUCCAAGAACAAACCCCAAAUAGUCAAGAUGUUUCUAAGGUGAUAUUAAGGAAUUUUUCAACACAAAACAUUUUUGGUUAUGGUUCAAAUAGACUGAAAACCCAAACUAUUCUAUGAUUCUACAAGAAAGAGAGACUCCAUGUUAUUUCAAAGUUAAAGUCAAAGAAUCAAAUAAGACAUGUUUACAAGUAUCCAAUAUGAUGACAUCUAAAAUUUCCAUACAAAAUGCUUACUUGCUUAUACUGAUUUCAGAAAGCUUUGGUUGAUAAGGAACAGUGUAUAGAACCCAAGGCAUCAGACUUGCAUAGUUUAAUACACAAGGGGAGCCUAUUGCUGAAGACUUCUUGCUCCAGCUGUGGGAUGCACCAUGCUCACAGGCUCUUGUCCUGUUGGGGGACUUCACCCACCCUGACAUCUGCCAGAAAAUUAGCACAAUAAACUGUAGCAAUCCAAGAGACUCCUGGAAUGCAUGAAAGAUAAUUUCAUGAGCCAAGUAGUAGAGAGCCCUACAAGAGGGAAUGUGUUACUGGAUCUGAUGGUCACCAAUGUAAGCAAGCAGAUUGGGAUCAUCAAAACUGAAGGCAGCCUGGGCUACAGGGAUCAUGUAUUGUUGGAAUUUGGAGUCCUGAGGGAAAUUUGCUGAUGACACCAAGCUGAUUGCUGUGGUUGACACACCUGGAGGACAGGAUACCAUCCAGAGGUACCUGGACAAGCUCAAGAAACAGAUCCAUGGGAACCUCAGAGGUUUAACAAGAACAAGAGCAAGGUGCUGUACCUAGGUUGGGGCAGACCCCUGUAUCAAUCUAGACUAAAGAGAUGAACAGAUUAAAAGCAGCCCUUCUGAGAAUGACUUAGGGGUGCUGGUGGACAAGAGGCUGGACAUGAACUGGCAAUGUGCACUUGCAACCCAGAAAGCCAAUCUUUUGGGCUGCAUCAAAAGGAGUGUGAUCAGCAGGUUGAGGGAGGU